rnacentral:sRNA from 1 species
GCCAGGUGUGGUGGCGCAUGCCUGUAAUCCUAGCUGCUAGGAAGGCUGAGGCAGGAGGAUCACAAGUUCAAAGCCAGCCUCAGCAGUCGGGAGGAGCUAAGCAACUCCAGGGAGACCCUGUCUCUA